rnacentral:tRNA from 1 species
AAAAUUUUAAGAUAAAAUAAAUCUAUUAACCUUCAAAGUUAAAAAUAUAAAAUAUUUAUAAAUUUUA